AAACUGCAAAUUUUUUUCUAUAAACCCUGUAGAAGUGAGGAGGAGAAAGUUUCUUGAAAAGCAUCCAGAAGCAGCAACACAUGGAGACCAGGUGCUAUUUAGAAGCUCUAUCAUACCCCUUGGUGGGCAUGGAUCAAACAUUCUCAUUUCCCCGAGGCUAAGCUCCUAAAUGGUUAAACCUUUCUUAUCUAUAACUUUACACUCCUAUAUAUGACAAACAAACGAAUCUCUUGUUCUCAACAAAUUUAAAGUCCGCAAUACGAGCAUUUCUCAGCUCUCGUAUGUAUUAUUUAUUGCAAGUAGAGCUGCAAUGGUGGGAUUUUUCAUGUCCUAUGUUGUGGAUUCUUUGACAGGGAUUGAUGUGGUUGGUCAAAAAGGAAAUUUCAUAUGCAAAGCUGCUCUCUUUCUUACAAUGGGAGUGAUCCUUAUUAGGACUCAAGAUUUUGAAACUAUAGCUGAGGAGGCUACAUUUUAUGACAAGCAAUGGUAAGCAUCAUGGCAAAAUCAUGAUAAACCUUGCACUUUUUAAGUUUAACUCUCUCAACCAAGAAGCCUUAAUCAAAAUGUGGAAGUCAUGAUUAUGAUUAAGAUUAAUCGUCUAGUACUGGAACUCAAGUUUGUAUCAUCUAAUCAAACGUACUAACCUCAUGUAGAAUUAAGGGUUUAUAAAUGGUCACUUUACUCAAAAUAAACCAAUAAAAUUCUAACCAAACUGCAAAUUUUUUUUCUAUAAACCCUGUAGAAGCGAGGAGGAGAAAGUUUCUUGAAAAGCAUCCAGAAGCAGCAACACAUGGAGACCAGGUGCUAUUUAGAAGCUCUAUCAUACCCCUUGGUGGGCAUGGAUCAAACAUUCUCAUUUCCCCGAGGCUAAGCUCCUAAAUGGUUAAACCUUUCUUAUCUAUAACUUUACACUCCUAUAUAUGACAAACAAACGAAUCUCUUGUUCUCAACAAAUUUAAAGUCCGCAAUACGAGC
rnacentral:lncRNA from 1 species